UAGAAAUGUCAUUUUUAGGAAUUGAUGGAGAUUUCAGAUGGCUGAUGUUUGUUUUCAAUGACCUAUUUUGCCCUCUCCCUUCUGCAAAUGGUCAAUUCCACAUGGAUUCUCAAAAUUAUAAAAAAUGUCUACUGUUCCUUGAAAUUCGGAAUGUGGAACCCGGUAAUGAGAGACAUGAUAGGGACAAUGUUUAUUGUCCCUAUCAUCCUACACCUGCAUCCCCACUCAUCCAUGGAGAGAGUCUAAGAAGAGUAAAGGGAAAGGAAUUGGGAAGAAAAAAAUGAUCUCAUUUGCAAUAGAAAAAAACAGAAGAGGAUAUAUAUAUAUAUUUAACCAAUACAUUGUAUUAAAGAAUUUUAGUAAACAUAUUUCCAUAUUUAAGUACAUUUGUAGACACUCUGAAUCUGUUUCACAGAUGCACCAGUGCUGAGGGUUUGUUUUUUUUUUAAAUCAGAUCAUUAAUGUUAGAGGUUUUAAGUUUUUGGAGGUAUGGAAGGUACCUUCAGGUUCUUUCUUAUCCACUUUCCUUUUUUCUCUCUCCUCCUUCCUUCUCUUCAUUCUCUCUUCUCCUUCUGAGUACUCAGCUAGGCAAGGCAAAAGGGGCUCAGCCCUAACCUCAUACUUUAGAGAGUCCUACAUAUCACAUAGAGACACAGAUUAAAGAACAUGUGGGAACCUCUGCCACUUGGGAUCCAGUUUUCAGUGCUGAGAUAGUGUGACCCUAAAUACCCACCCUCAUGAUUCACAUCAUUCAGGCCCCAGGCAAAUACUUCUCCAUCUUGUCCUGUAUCCAAAUGCCUUAAAGACUUAUGAGCUGUCCUGCUGCUACUCACAUCAGUGAUGAACACUACCUUAGAGUCUGUGAAAAGAUUUUGAGUGGCAGAAGCACCUAGGUAAGAGAAAAGACAAAUUAUUGGCUUGUCAAAUCAUUUUUCUCUGAUAGCAUGAAGGCAAUAGAGCCUUGUGUGAUCAAGUAUCAUUUCCCAGUUGUGCUGAGCAUCUACUUUCUUACUUCUCUUUGUGUUUCCACAGGUAUUUACAAAUUAGCACAGCAUUCAGAACAGUAGCACCUGGAGUCUGGGGAGCCUAUUCUGAAAUGAAAUCAUCCAAAUUACUCUUACAUCAGUAUAGCUACACAUCUAGACAUUUUUGCCAUGUAAGAAAUCAGAAAGCCUACACUAAAUUCAGGAGAAGGCUCUUUCACUCAAGACAUCAGAUUGAGCACUGAAAUCCUGGGUCCCAAGCUAGGUAACUCACUGAAGGAUAAUUCCUUCAGGAGUCCUGUGAUUCUGGAAAAACAAGCAAGAGAGUCAAAUUGUCUAAACGUAAUUUCUGCUUUCAUGGAUCACAAACAAGAAAGUGAACACAAAGGUCUGGCUAUGUUUUUGGAAGAGAAGAAGGAAAACUCCAAGAAGGGCAAAACAAAUAGAUGUUUUAGAAAAUUAUCUCAUAUAUUUGGACUUUGGGCAUGUGGGCGAAACCCUCCCCUAAACAGUGUAUGCUUAAUUCUGGAGCUCUGAGGGGGUUGGAACAUGAAAUCAGGGGCCCAGAUAAUUAUGAUUGAUUUUAGAUUUUAAGUGAAAUUUCAGGUGUUGGUCCAGUCUAUCCAUUCAGCUCAGUAAAAAACCAACAGAGAUAGUGACUCAAGGUUCUUCUUCUGGCCAAGAAUGAAGUCAGUGCGUUGGGUUGGUGCAUCCCUAAGGUGUAUCUCUUGGGAAUUAGUGUUUCCUACAAACUCCAGCCUAGGCCCCUGGAAGACCUGCUUGCUGCUCCAGACACACUUAACAUAUUGACAAAAUUAAACAUGUUCACAGGUGAGCUUCUUCCUUCCUUCAUAUAUUCACUUAUUCAUUCAACAAAUUAUUUGUUGAGUGCCAUGCACUGUACUAGGUGCUGGGUGUGCACUGGUGCCUAAAAUAGACGUGGGGUUUUCCUUUGGAACUUAUGAUCUAGUGGGCAAGGAUAUCCAAUAUACAAGAAAACAAUAUAAAUUACAAAUUGUGCUAAGGGAGUGAACACAGAGAAUGAGAAGGACACUCAAAGAACCUAAAACACAAUUGUGUCUAGAAAGACUAAAGGAAUUAGGAAGAUUGUUGUCUUUUUCAUAGAAGUAUCAGAAGAAGUUCUUACCUAUGUGUAAACUUUAGAGGAUGUUGUAUGAAAAAAGUGCUUUUUAUUCUUCAUUAAUACUAAGGAGUUGAGCUGGCAUUAAAACCUGCAAGUUUUGAGGAGAUCUGUGUUGGAUUCACCUGAUGAAGAAUUUUUGUGCUGUGAAAGAAUGGAAUGAGUUGUUCAGGGAGGGUCAGAUCAUCAUCAGUUCGCUUGAUUAAAAACAGACAUAAUUACUGCUCAAUAGUAAAAAAAAAAAAAAGUAAAUAUGCCACAUGAAUGAGUCUCAAAAGCAUAGCGCUGAGUGAAAGAUGCCUUAUACAAAAGGCUACUUAUUGUAUGAUUCCAUUAACUUGAAACUCUAGAUUAGGCUUAAUUAAUCACUGGGGGAUAACUGGGACAAUCAUUGCCUGGGGAGGGGCAGUGCAGUGGGGCUGGAAUUAACAAGGAAGGUGCGUGAGGGAACUUUCCUCACGGUAUAGAUAAUGGGCAUGUUCUAUACCUUGACAGAGAUUUGGCUCACACAGAUAUGCCCAUUGGCAGUACACAGCCAGUUGUUCAUUUAGUAUGUUUGCAUGUCACUAGACACACAUUUUAUCUAAAGUAAAUAAGGAAAAAUUGAGGAGGGAAGGAAGGAAGGAAGCAAAGGGAGAGAAGGAAGGAAGAAAAAAGAAAAAGGGUAAACACAACUAAGGAAGGAAAGAAGAAAUGAAGAGAAAGAACCAAAACCAAACAAUAAGUUAAUGAUAUGCAUCCUGGAGUUUUAGGGGUGAAGUGUACUGAUGUCUGCAAUUUCUGCAUGACUCUGAAAUACAUGAAAAAGUAAGAUGACCUGAUGAAUGGGUAUUUAGCUACACAAAUAAUAAGGCAAAUACAACCAAAUAUUAACAAUUGUAGAAUCUAGGAAAUGAG